rnacentral:lncRNA from 1 species
AUACAUUCCAUUUGAAACGGUUACAAAACGCGGGUGGCUUUGUGAGAAGGGUUGAUGUCGGUUCCCUCACAAAUAAAUGAGAUGUUACAAUAGAAACGUUCCAUCAAAUCAGUAAUGGCGCAUACCAAUCACUGAAACAUCAGAGAUGUACACAAUAGUCACAUAUGUGCCCACCAGCAUAUUGCAUCUUGCCAGAAAAGGCAUCAAUUCCAUUUCAGAAAAAGAUAUUGAUAGAGUUAUAAAAAUCUAGUUGUCCCAAAGGUUCUAGACAGGCAUGAAAGAGAAUAGAAACGAUACGCACUUAGAUACAAAUGAUAGCGCACCAUGGACAGCACAAAGCUUUAAUCUGACAUCCAUCGUCUCUCAAACCCACCACCACCGGCAGCGCCAACAAGUAUGCAAGUACUGUAGAAGACUUGUUGCAGCAGCAGCAGCAGCAACAACAGCAGUGAAGGGGCUACAGUACACGUACAAGGAGCAUCUAACGUCACCAUUCGAGAGCAGCGACCGAAGACAUUAUGAUUUCCUGAAUAUGUUGUACAACCUGCGGAAAGAGGAAAUGAAAUGAAGUGUAUAAAUAUGUCGAAAAAUGAACCACGCAAGGGCUGUUAUGUCUGUCAGGGAUUGAUCUUAUGCCUUCAGAUCUGGAGUAAUACAUUUUGGCCUUCAUAAAUGGUUCUUGGCCUUCAUAAAUGGUUCAAGAGAUGAUCAUCACGGGUUAUCUAUCAAAAAUCAACACACAAAAAAACAGUCAUGAAAUCUGCUAGCACACAACAGAGAGUCCAAGGGAUGUAUUAGGUAGGGCAGAGGCAGCGAUAACAGUACACGUGAGCAAGGCAAAUGGGAGCAGAGAAGCAGAGCAGGCAUGCAGCAUAUCCUCCACGUAGGAUUUUAGAGUAUGACCAUGCAAAAGAGUUCGAUUCAGAUGAAAUUCCGAGAAUUCUGAAUCACAACAUGGCCCUCAGAUUUCAGUUUCAUCAUAGGCUAAUGCAGUGGGCUUCAAAGCUGGCACUGGGGCAUGUCUGGGUGAACCGAAGAGGAGGCAAGGCGAUGGCGGCGACGGGGACGCCUGUAGCAAGAGCAGGCCCAUCACUCAGUGGUAGGGCUUCCGCAGAAGCAACGGCUGAUAAGACUUGGACGCUGUAUUUCCGUUAUGUUAAGUAAUGGAAAGGGGUUAUGCCCGGUUCAAAAAAAAAGAAGCAACGGCUGAUCCACAGACACAUGCCUCAGCGCCCAGAGCAGAGAAGCCAGCGCUGCAUCACCAUUUCAGGUCUUCAACCUUGCGAAUGCAACGGCUGAUCCCGUUUCGAGCUCAAACCUAAGCCAAUCUAUCUAUCUAGGGCUUUCAACCUAAUCAUCACUGGGCCAAGGGAAAAUCCAUGCAGCAAGCGAAAAUAUAGUAAUGGACCAAAGAAACUAGGAAAUUAAAUCCGAACCGGGCUUGAUCAAAACAAAUAAUCAAACCACCAGAAAACCAAAUAAUUGAAAAGGAAAAUAGCCGUAGGAGACUUCUUGUGCCACCAGCAGCAGCAGGAGGAACGAAGGGGCCACAGAAGGACCAUCACAUCAACAUUCAUUCAAAAGCAGCAAACAGAAAGAUCAUGAUCCCAUACUGUAGAGCCUGAGGAAAGAGGAAAUGAAAUGAAGAGUACAAAUGUACCGAAAAAUGAACCGCGCAAGGGUUGUGGCAUCUGUCAGGUAGUAGUUAUCUUAUGCCUUCAGAUCUAGUAAUACAUUUGGCCUUGCAAAAUGGUUCAAGAGAUGGUCAUCACGGUUAUCAAAAAUCAACAACAGUUGUCAAGAAAUCUGCUAGCUCACAAAAGAGAGUCAAAGGGAUGUAUCAGAUAGGGCAGAGGCGGCGAUAACAGAGAUGGGGAAGGGAUGUUAGUGACCUCGUGUCGUCAAUCAAUCAUCAAGGCAAACAGAAGCAGAGCAGGCAUGCACCGUCUCCUCUACCUAGGGAGGUUCCGGUGCACCAUUGCGCAUUAAACGAUAAUACAACACGAUAAAGACAAGGUGCGUAUACUGAUGGUUUGAUAGCACGCCCACAGGAAGAUCGCCCUCAGAUAUCAAAAGAGUGUCCCAAAUGGAUCGGCAGAAAACCUGAAUAGUACUCCCUCCGUCCCGUAAUAAAAGAGCGUUUUUGACACUACACUAGUGUCAAAAACGCUCUUAUAUUACGGGACGGAGGGAGUACAACCAUUGCAAUGACAACCACAACAGAAGCAACAACAAGCAGAAAGAAAGAAAGAGUGGAAGCAGAGAGAUGGCCCUUCCACAUGAACAGCAGGCCCAUCUCAGUUUUCACCUGAUUCCCACUUUCCAAGAGCAUGCUUCAGCGCCCAGAACAGAAAAAGCCAACGCUGCAUUAGCCAUUCCAAGAGCAAGGCGCAGCCGCAUUUAAGCACAACCAUGUCAGUCUUCUAUUAAUCAUCAUGGGGCCAAUGGUAAAUCCGAG